ACUGCGUGCCGGCUGCCCUCGCUCUCACUGGCAGGUUCUUCCCCGAUGUUAAAACCCACUUCUUCAGGCACCCAAAGUAGACUGAAGACCAGCAGUUCUCCAAGAAUCCUCCUGGCCUUUAGCACCAAAUUGGAACUUCCAAAGUAUCCAGCAUUGAGGAUUGUCAGUGUGAGACAGCCACUGUUGGACGACAAGAGCCACGCCAUGAACUGCCCAAGAUCGCUAAGCACUCCCGGCUCUCAGGCUUUUGGACUCAGGCUGAAUUCUUCUACUGUUCUCCAGUUCUGCAGACAAUAAGCCAUGGGCAUCUCAGUCUUCAUAGCCACUGGAUCCUAUUCUUAUGGAGAGACGCCAUGUCUGUGAAGGUGGCGCAUGGAGUGAUGGAGUGAGUUCUCAGCCAGAAGGGAAAAAAAAUCCAAAGGGAAGCCCCAGAGAAUACAGCAGCUGAAGAAAAAGCAAAGCAAAGCCUGAAAUGUGCUCACAGCAGCCUGAAGCAAUUUAAGAGAGAAUGGGGAGAGGGCUUGCCGGAGAUCUAGGCAUGGAAAUUAUUUCCCCCUUUUAAUGCAGAUGGAAGAAAAUGAGAAAGCUGCACUCCCAAGAGGAAAACCAACCAAAAGGAAAAGUCUCCUAGCAUUCCCAGCAAGACGUGCCUGUGUGUGUACAAACAACUUGCAAAGGACCACAGCAACUCUGGAUAACGCUGGUGUUUCCUCCUCAUCUGCCUUUCAGCUCCUCCUCUUACCAGUCUGCACUACAUGCAGAAACCCUCUGUGCACGUCUAAGGUGGUGCACACAUAGGGACGGUUCAUGCAGAUGCCACACUCUGCUCUGAACCCCGCUCUCUGAACAUCUGGAGUGUUUCCAGUGGCCUGCUAUAGCAAUACUAAAGUCAGUCAGUAUCCCAUCAGUAUCUGGGAUACAUUUCCAAGGCCCCUUUAUAUCAGUGAGUUGAGGCUAGAACAUAGGACAUAUCUGUAAUGGUCAGUUAUCUAGGCCAACUCCUGGAAGAAAAUAGGAAGUGUGUUCAGAAUCCCCUAAAGCAGAAUUUUGACCUUUCCAAUUCUGAGCGUAGCAUUGGAGGGGACCUGGCACUCUCUAAGCCUCCUCCAGGAGAGGUGACUUUCAAAGACACCUUCACUGGGUCAUGAAGAAAAGAUGAUUCAUCUUUACAAAACAAAAUCAAAAUUCCUCUUGCCUCUCCGCAAAUGAUUUAGGAAACAAAAUUGGAGACUUGGAAAGUGUCCAUCACAAAGCGGCUAAACCCAGAAUAACUGCGGAACCCCGGAGUGAGAGUCCGAGUCGGACAUGCUGAGAGCUGGACCACCGCUGUGGCUGGAAAUCUGAGUGGGUGUCAGAGAGGAGAUGUGAACUUCUGUAACACGCCGAAUUGCUAAAAAUUCCUGCGACAUUUCCUUCCCCCAAUAAACUGUCAUGCAGCAAAGCUGUUUCUGACAGGAUUGAAGUUCCGGGAAAGCAAUAUGGAGACCUUCACCCCGCAGGUGCACGUGGUUCCCAACGUGGGUCCCUGAGGAUGGUCUCCCGCGGCAGUUUAGGUGUGGCUGAGGUUGGCAUAGUCAGAAAGG
ensembl:lincRNA Gm9946 predicted gene 9946